GUGGGGAAUUUUGGACAAUGGGCGCAAGCCUGAUCCAGCAAUGCCGCGUGCAGGAAGAAGGCCUUCGGGUUGUAAACUGCUUUUGUACGGAACGAAACGGUCCGGGUUAAUACCCUGGGCUAAUGACGGUACCGUAAGAAUAAGCACCGGCUAACUACGUGCCAGCAGUCGCGGUAAUACGUAGGGUGCAAGCGUUAAUCGGAAUUACUGGGCGUAAAGCGUGCGCAGGCGGUUUUGUAAGACAGGCGUGAAAUCCCCGGGCUCAACCUGGGAAUUGCGCUUGUGACUGCAAGGCUGGAGUGCGGCAGAGGGGGAUGGAAUUCCGCGUGUAGCAGUGAAAUGCGUAGAUAUGCGGAGGAACACCGAUGGCGAAGGCAAUCCCCUGGGCCUGCACUGACGCUCAUGCACGAAAGCGUGGGGAGCAAACAGGAUUAGAAACCCUAGUAGUCC
rnacentral:rRNA from 1 species